GGGGGGAGGACCCCUCCUCCGGUAGCUUCUGAGGAGGAGGUGGGAGGUCCGGGGCUGAGUCUGGGGGAACGUCUGUCCCCAGUGGCGGAGAGCUGACCGGGGAAGACUGGCAGCUUAGCGUCGGUAGGGGGCGAUAACGGCUUACACCCCUCUUCCUCGUCUCUCCCCAAGACCCAAUGAAAGCAGCAGCUCUCUGACCAAACUGUGCUGAACAUGAGUUAACAACAUACACCUCAUCAUGUGGCUCCCCCACACUGAAGAAAAUGAGUCUCAGGUCUAACUUUGUUUGAGGACUGCAAGAAAACCAUUCAGUAAGACAGAGGACAAAUCAAUGGAUCCAGCAGGAUCCAUAUACUGACAUUUACGUCUUGAUAGAGAGUAUCAGUCAGGCCCUGAUUCCUCUCUGGGCUAUUGGGUGGACUACCGUAAUGCCUGAAGAGUGUACAGCUCUGUGGACAGAGCCUAGAUCACCACUCAGUUGUUGUGAAGGAUAAAAAAUACAAUAUGAUUCUGCUUGCACAACAUCUUUUCACCAUGCAUUAACAUAUGAAACUGAAUUGUAAAUGUGUUGAUUUUUUCAAACUUUUUAUCUUCACUUUCAGUUUGCAUUUAGAAAAAUUCUUAACAUUUGUGUUAUGGUUCAUUUAUGUUCUACAAUGUAUUUGUGUUUUAUAAUUUCCCUUUUUACAAUUGAACCUCCCAUCGAUGGGAUGUUACAGUUAUAUAAAAUAAUAUCUAAUCAAUCAAGUUCUUUUCACUAUCAUAAGCCCUUUUGAUUGCCUGAUGCACCUUCACAAAUCUUGUCGAUCAAGUAUUUUAUAUAUCGCCUAUGAUGUCAGAACAAGCCACUAUGGAAACCUUUUUCUUAACUUCUUUAUUUUCGUUUUUAACAUGUUUGCAAAUGACAACACGGAAAGCAAAAUAUAAAUCCUGUUUCACACAGAAAGUUAGAAAAACACAAACCAACAGUUAUUGUAAUCCACUUCAUUCCCCUCAGAUAUGACUUUUCUCAAUGCCGUGUUCUGUCCUCUCUGUUCCUCUCAUGCUCAGACAGAUAGAGGCUUUCUGUGCGAAACAAAGAGAGCAGGAGCAUGUGACUUUUGCAGUGAGGCUCUUCUAGUAGCUUUAUGGUAGCAGGGGGAAGGAAGUGUUUAAAGGGACAGAGGAGAGCUGAAGUUCAGCAGAAUGGUUCAGACUACUGAUCACACCACCACGGAGCCCACUGCUGGAAAAUAAAUGAUAUGUCAAGGCUGCCAUUUACCACAUCAAGGCCUGGUUUUUAUUCACUUGCAGUGACGUUCUCUCUUUUUGACUCCUAAGUGCCCUCCAUUUCUUCAUCCAGCCAUUUGAAUUUCCUUGACUACGCUGCUGAAGCCAGAUACUUGAAUAUAGUUUUGUCAUUUUUCUCAAGUCGGGCUCUUGAUAAGAAUAAGAAAUAGAAAUCAAUACUUGUGGUACAGGCGGUUGAAGCACUGUGAGAAAGUUUAGAAGAAUAAAGCUCUACUUCUGCUAGCCGCAACAUGAGGCUUUACUUCCCAUUGCUAAAUGCUAACAUCAGCAUGUUGACAAUGAUCACUGUCUUAGUUUAGUUGUGGUGGCAUGCUAAACAUAUGUGGGUAAGGAUAAAUGUGUUGCAUGGGGGAAUUGUAUUUGGUCACCAACCAAAGUUCUGAACAAAUUAAAAUUUUAACCUGAAAUUAAAGCAUUCUCCACCCAUCCAA